UCGAAGUACCGCGAGAGUGAUUCAAAAGCCCACGAAACAGUGUAAUCACGCGGUACUGUGAUGUCAUACUGGUUAACGCUAAGCCACGUGAAGCCGGACACAAGGGCUGCACUAAUCUUUGGACUGGAGUAGCCUGUGGUUUUUAAGGCUUCCGUGUCCCAUCGCGUUAAACGAUCGCAGAACGAUUUAUUUCUCUUUUUCACCUCGAUCUUUGGCCUCUUGUGAUUUAACAAAACCAACAUGUGAAGUUACAACGCUGACGAAGGAGUUUCAUCAGUAGAGUGUGUCCUGGUAAACGUGUGCUCGGAAACAUGCAGAUUACAGUAUUUACAGAGCUGACCUUGAGGCUAUUUUUUUGCAUGACAUCCACUGAUGGAUAAUCUGUUUACCUAAAAACAGCACUUCAGGAGAAACCUGCCUGUGAUCUGCUAAGAUGCACAGAUUCAUCUCUGGCCCAUUGUCAUCCCAACACCUUAUCUGCCAUCAGUUUCGUUUAGUGUCGGUCUAUUGCAAAAGUUCUUAUAAACUUUAAAUGAGACUUUGUGUUAAGCAGGGGUUUCCAAACUUUUCAUUUCACAACAUAUUAAGCCCAGGAUACACAGCAGGAUUUUUGCAAUCCAAUAAGGCCUUAUCACACUGUGUGACAAGAAUUGUUUAAACUUCAGCAGUCGACUGUCGAUGAAGACACCUAUUGCAUCUGAGGCUGCAACAUCCGUCAUCAGCAUGCGCUAGUGGUAAACAAAUACAGGUAUGCAGGUCGUAGAAGCAAACAUGUUGUUGAUGUGCGUUGAUCAUGCUGAACUUCUUACACUGUCAUAAAACUAUCGUAGGUGUCUUUGGUCCCAGGACUGGGAAAACAGACGUCUUUAAACCUCUCACACUGUAUGAGAUAGGACCACCAAUUAAGAGCCAUGAUCACAGAAAUCUCCACGAUUGUUUCACGAUUGGUAAUCUUUCAUCUGGGACAGCCAAAAAUCGUGCCGUGUAUUAUGGGCUUUAGACAGGUGUUAUCUUAUAGUAUAUCAAAACCAUUGCUAAUAAUUAAUUGGACAAACCAUCACUACAAUGCAACACACGCUAUCUUACGAUGUGACCCACAAGUGGGUCUUCACCCACAGUUUAAAAACCCUGAGUAUGAGUAAGAGUAUGUUGUAUUGUAAUUAAAGUCACAUCUAAGUGUUAUGGAGCAGUUUGUCAUUAUAUUCACAGUAUUACAUGGUUCUUUCAGCAGUUACUACGUUAAAGUGCUCUUAAAGUGUCCUGGUCAGCUUUGGGUCUUGUGAAGUAAUGUAAUGAGAAUGUGAUCAAUAGCUUUGCAGUAUUUUUUGUUACACUGUGGCUGUAAUCAUAUCAACACAUAGGUUAAACAUUUUAUUCAAAUUUGGUAAACAAACUAGUCAAUAUAAUUCAUGCUGUGAUGCUGAAUUAAACCUGGUCAAAUGAA